CCUGGGGACAGGACCGGAGCUGUGCACCCUCCACGCACACGCCUGAUGCCCGCGGCCCCGUGUGCUUCUGACGCCCACUGUCCUUCCUCUGCAGGGCCCAGCUCAGAGGGCUUUCAAACUUGUCAUCAGGUGUAAGUCUCGGGACCAGGACCACGGAGGAAGCAGCCACAGCGCGAUUCUGCCUUCACAGAGCAGCUCUGGGGGCCGAGGGUUCCCACUUUGCUCAGGGAGGUGGUGCGGCCGGGAGCGGGGACUGUGGGCCUCUCCCCCCACCCCGCCCCCCACCCCCCGCCUGCUGCUGCUUCCCUGUCCUGCACUCGGAACGCAAGUGUCUGAAUUCUUCUACUCCAAGUCAUAAACGUCCCUUCUUCUCCUCAGCUCUCGGAGCCUGAGUGUGGCAGACUGUACCCCUGCUCCUGGCCACUUGUCCUGCCACCCUGCCCACUGCCAUGUGACCUGCAGGGGCCCUGAUAGGGCACACACUUCCCAGCCCUGUGUGACCUGACCAGGGGAUCUGCUCAGAGCGUCGCACGCGGGAAGCACCGUGACCAGGGGACCCACCUGGGGCAUCGCAUUUGGGGAGCACUGUGACCAGGGGACCCACUCUGGGCAUCACAUGCGGGCAGCACUGUGACCGGGGGACCCGCUCGGGGCAUCGCACUCGGGGAGCACCGUGACCGGGGGACCCGCUCAGGGCAUCGCGCUCGGGGAGCACCGUGACCGGGGGACCCGCUCGGGGCAUCGCGUGCAGGGAGCACCGUGAACACCAGGUCUGGGAGCCCUGAAUCUGCACCGGCCAUCUUUGCUGCACCUUGCCCACCAGGAGAAAGCAGGUCCCCAGUGUGCUCUGCUCCUCCAGCCCGUGUCCGGAUGAGAGGAGACACGGGGUAGACGUGCAGCUGCCUCCUCGGAAAAGGGGUGAAGUUCUCUAUCAUUCGGGCUGCCUGCUACCGGGGCAGUGCCGGCCACGGCACACCACCCGGUGCCUAGAAACCAGCUGUGCGUGGUGCUGCCAUAAGGAACCAUCUAAAACGUGUGGCCCUGGCUCUGGGGCUGGGAGGUGACAGCAAGGACUUUGCUAUCGAACCCUAAAAAGAUAACUGUCAAGACGAGGUAAAACCGUCACCUGUGAUUACCUGGGGGACAGGUGAGCACCUAAUGGGCUCAUUGCGAAGGUCACGAGCGUGCCUGGGGGAUGGUCGGCUGCAUUUAACCAAAUCCCACGUGCUGCGGAAGCCCCAAGAGACACGGGCCAGUGAGACCCUGAC